AUGAAGAAGAGGCCUAUAGUUGCAGAGAAGGCUGACUUAAGAAGCAGGAGGAAAAAUUAUGGCUUGGUAAGAAAGAGGAAGUUUCGCGCGGAUCGGUUUUGCAUAAGUGCUAUAAACGCGGUUCGGUGGAGCUCGGACAGCGGCAGCACAGCGACCGCGGGGUCCUCCGUCACCGAGAGCAUCGGGUUUACUAGGGGACGUACGCGCAUGGAAGCACGCUAUCCCGAAAGUAUUUUAUUAAGCACAGAUCGACUCACCGCUAGAGCAGGAAAAUCGGCUGUUAUAGGAAAAGAAAGGACCAAAUCCUCGUUUUCUCACUUUAAUUUCUGCUAUCCGCGCGGCAGGGAGGCAUGGCGGCUGCGCACCUCCCGGCCGGUCCCGGCGCGGCCGCGGCCCCUCGCAGCCCAGCGCCGCCCGCGCCCGCGGGAGAGGCGCCGCCCGGCUCGGCACCGCGCGUCCCUUCCGCCCGCCGCCCGGUACCGCGGUGGAACAGCGCUGCCGCUCCUUCGCUGCCUCCCGCGCGGGAAAGCUGAAGAGAAGCGGUUUUCAUUGAGUAAGCUGUCUGCAGAAGCUGUGUCUAUACAGAGGCUCUGUAUUUUAUUCACUGGAGAGAACCAGCAGAAGACCUCAGGCCAUUUUCUAGCUGAUUUAAUUAAAAGAAGCUUCAAAGUUCUAAUGACCAUAGCAAGGAUAGAAAUCUCAGAAGAUUCAUUGCAUAGAAUGGCACAGAACUGGAGAGCAGUGCCUUGAUGCUGUACUCAUGUGGUGUGGCACUUGCCAUGGAAGUACAAGGUCCAAAUGUUGAAGAUCUGAAGCAAGUUGGUGUGAAGACAGCUCUUACAGUUGAAAUGCACCCCCUCCCCCCUUCCACAGCACAGCUGUCAUAUGGAAAUAUUAUUCCUCAAGGCUGUUUAUUAUUCCUUAGUAAAAUUGAAACGCCAGUACAUUCCAGAGACUUUCUUGCAUAGUCAUCCUGAUUUAUCAUUAGUCUUGUCAAACUUUUUUGUCUAUGGUUGAAAACAAUCUAGGCCUUGGUCAUUGAUUCUUUUUCUGUGAUGUUGGUUGACAUCAGAAGUUUGUUAGACGAAACAAUGCUAUAAACAAACUUGAACUAUUUUUAGAUGUGAAAAUAGCAUUAGUUAGAGAUCAGAGUUGGUGCCAAUGAACCCAAUUUAUUUUAAUGCAUGCUGGAAAUAGAUACAGAAGAUGGAAAUAAAGACUUAGGGAGAGUAUUUUGACA
rnacentral:lncRNA from 1 species